GGGGGACGAUAACGGCGUCGAGCGGCGGACGGGUGAGUAAUGCCUAGGAAAUUGCCCUGAUGUGGGGGAUAACCAUUGGAAACGAUGGCUAAUACCGCAUGAUGCCUACGGGCCAAAGAGGGGGACCUUCGGGCCUCUCGCGUCAGGAUAUGCCUAGGUGGGAUUAGCUAGUUGGUGAGGUAAGGGCUCACCAAGGCGACGAUCCCUAGCUGGUCUGAGAGGAUGAUCAGCCACACUGGAACUGAGACACGGUCCAGACUCCUACGGGAGGCAGCAGUGGGGAAUAUUGCACAAUGGGCGCAAGCCUGAUGCAGCCAUGCCGCGUGUGUGAAGAAGGCCUUCGGGUUGUAAAGCACUUUCAGUCGUGAGGAAGGUAGUGUAGUUAAUAGCU
rnacentral:rRNA from 1 species